GUGCAGCCAGCAACUAUUGGGCCCAAGGCAUGGAGCAAGCCCAAUAGCACAAUAAGGGGAACUGAAUCUAAGAGGCAAAGUUCCUCAUGUGCUCAAUUCCUUAACGUGUUCCACGCUCAGUCAAAAAUUUAACUCUCAAGUUCCCGCCAUCUGAAACAGUCUUCCUCCAUCGUGCUGAAGGCAGAGCCCUAAACUAUGAACAAAUUCUACCAUCCUCCUCCUCCCAGUGCCCUAAUACUAAAUCUAAUGUCAACUUUCUAAAAUUCCUCAUCAAUCAGACGAAUCGAAGCAAAGUGCAUCAGAACCCUAACCUACAAAACUUGAAAUUAAAUCUUCAUCGUUCGGAAUCAAAGCCCUAGGGAUGAAGGAUUUGAUUCCCCUAACCAAAACCUACAUCUUGGUAACUAGAAUGGAGCAAACGGCUAUGGAAAUCGGAAACUCACCGGCGGAGAAAACGCAACUGGAACCGGAAUUUCAGGAAAUGGAUGGACCAAUGCAAGGAUGACUUGUUUUUGAAGAAACAAAUGGAGAUUAGAGUUUAGGAAUGGGAAAAAAUAUGAAUUGACUUUGGUGAACUGGUUAACCAAAAGGUCAAUAGUUGACCAAAUAUCAACUUAUGCAAAAUGUAACUCAUUUUUUUUUGUAAUUUUUCAAUGUAAUGUAUAUGGAAAAUGUAAAUAUGAUAUUGUAUGAAUGAAAUGCCCCCUUUUUAGUGAAAAAUAUUCUUAUGACUAAUGAAACAAGUUUGAAUUUCAAAUUACCA